UACGUAGGGACCAAGCGUUGUUCGGAUUUACUGGGCGUAAAGGGCGCGUAGGCGGCGUGUUAAGUCACUUGUGAAAUCUCUAAGCUUAACUUAGAACGGUCAAGUGAUACUGAUGUGCUAGAGUGCAGAAGGGGCAACCGGAAUUCUCGGUGUAGCGGUGAAAUGCGUAGAUAUCGAGAGGAACACCUGCGGCGAAGGCGGGUUGCUGGGCUGACACUGACGCUGAUGCGCGAAAGCUAGGGGAGCAAACGGG
rnacentral:rRNA from 1 species